UACGGAGGGGGCUAGCGUUGUUCGGAAUUACUGGGCGUAAAGCGCGCGUAGGCGGAUUGUUAAGUCGGGGGUGAAAUCCCGGGGCUCAACCCCGGAACUGCCUUCGAUACUGGCAAUCUGGAGUUCGAGAGAGGUGAGUGGAAUUCCGAGUGUAGAGGUGAAAUUCGUAGAUAUUAGGAAGAACACCAGUGGCGAAGGCGGCUCACUGGUCCGGCACUGACGCUGAGGUGCGAAAGCGUGGGGAGCAAACAGG
rnacentral:rRNA from 1 species